CUUCACUCUACCAGAAACAACUGCUCACAGGACACAUCUGGCCCCCAUGUCUUUUUAAAUGAAAGGAAAUCAAGAUAAGGUGAAGAGGAGAUCAGUUGCCUCUGCAGAAGGUGUCUGAGAAGGAGAUGUUGAAGCUUUGCUUCUCCUUGUGCUUCUCCUCUUCCCCCAUAAGUCAUCUGAGAAGACUGCUUAAAUAUUCCACGCUGCCUUAGUGUGACUCAAAUUUCCAGCUGUUUUGCUGCCAGGAAGAACCAGGUGCCUUGGGAACAGUGAGGCUGAAAGGAGCAGGAAGCAAAGAAUGAGGCUGUUGAAGAAAUUCCACAGAUAUUUCCGUGGAAGUAUCAAGAAGACCUAGAGUAAGGCAUCAUCAAAUUGAUAGACUUGAACAAAAGGGAGGAGUGAGACAGACGGAUGGAUACAGAGCAUGGAGGGUGGUCAGGAAAGGCAGAGUCUGGAGAAUUUGAGCAGUGAUCUCAACAAAGAAAAGAAGAAAGUCAUAAGAUGAUAAGAACAGAGGAUUUUUUUGGCUAA
rnacentral:lncRNA from 1 species